rnacentral:rRNA from 1 species
GACGAACGCUGGCGGCGUGCUUAACACAUGCAAGUCGAACGGAAAGGCCCUGCUUGCCGGGUACUCGAGUGGCGAACGGGUGAGUAACACGUGGGUGAUCUGCCCUGCACUUCGGGAUAAGCCUGGUAAACUGGGUCUAAUACCGGAUAGGAGCCAUUUUUAGUGUGAUGGUUGGAAAGUUUUUUCGGUGUAGGAUGAGCUGGCGGCCUAUCAGCUUGUUGGUGGGGUAAUGGCCUCCCAAGGCGGCGACGGGUAGCCGACCUGAGAGGGUGGACGGCCACAUUGGGCCUACGGGAGGGCCCAGACGCCAACGGGAGGCAGCAGUGGGAAGUCUGACACAAUGGUGGCAAGCGUGUGGCGGCGACGCCGGGUGGGGAAUAACGCCUUCGGGUGGUAGACUCCUUUCGCUAGGAACGAAGCUUUUUGUGACGGUACCUAAAUAAGAAGCACCGGCUAACUACGUG